rnacentral:lncRNA from 1 species
GAGUAAUUGACUGAGAGAGAGAGGCAUUGUCAUAUGUGUAACACCUCUCUCAGUCAAUCACUCACACACUCGCUAAAGAAAAACAGAUGCGAGAGAAACUAAAAUAAAUUUACGCUAUCAUUCUUUCUCUCUCUCUCUCUCUCACACACAUACACACACAGCAACCCAUCCUUUCUCUCUGACAACACCCCCCUCUCUCUCUCAGUCAAUCACUCACACACAAAAAAGAUGCGAGAUAAAAUAAAUAAAUAAAAUGUACGCGGUCUCUCUCUCUCACACACACACACAACAUAUACUUUCUGUCUCGCACUCCCCAGCAACACGUCCCUGUCCAUUUCGUCUCUCUUUCACUUUAUGCUAACUUGAAACAAAAUGUAUAUUUCCACCCACAAAAAAAAACUGAAAAACAUUUUUUACGGAUUUUACCGAACGCUGUACCUUAACAGCUGAUUGAUCAGCUGUUCAGUUUGACAUUUCUGCGAGUCAUAUCGAAAGAUCGCCACUCAAGGACUGACAGUAACUUUUCGAAUACUAUUUCAAUGACAUCUAAACUCUCUCAACAUUUGUCGUAAUGCUAUUUCAAUAACACCCAAACUCUCUCAGUAAGAACAAAAGUUUGUUUGAAAAAAAAAAAAAAGACCACAACAGAUUUCGUCGUUUUUUAUGUACAACUAUUGACCUCCGACGCUAGAAAUAGCAGCCAACAUCCAACAACCAAGAGUCAGCUCCCCACAUCAGCGAACAUAUUCACCUCCUAACACUUUGCUGUGUUGUGAAAUUACAAGAAAUUUUCUAUUAACUUGGUUUUAUAUGGGAACACGUAGCCUAAACAAUAUUCAAUUACCCAUCAAAACCAACGUUGUAGGCUCAAUAUAGACAUAUUGAGUAAAAAAAUAAGGUUGUGACCAGCUUGUUAGAAAGAGAGAGAGAGAGAGAACGACGAGGAUGUCUUUGAAUGUGUGAAAAAAUGCCAUCACAGUCACACAUCUUGGUUUGCUGUUAAAUAUUUUCUAUUUAUUGUGAUAUCAAAAAAUAAAUUAUCUAUAUCUAGUUAUCUUUUAAAAUUUCCCUCCGUAAUUUCUCAUUUUCAUUGUCAAGGUAUUUUAAAUAGCAUUCAUUUAUAGGGAAAGUAAAAAGAAAAAGCAGGAGACUUCUUUUUUUCUUUACGUCUUUCAGUUUCACGUAUUUAAAAAAAAAGUAUUUACUUCCCAACACCUUUCCUUUCUGUCUUCGCAAGUCACCUUUCCAUAUCCCUUAUUUACUCCGUAAAAUCCUUUCACUUGUCGUAGUCUCUUUCAUCUUCAUCCAUUUACUUUCGCUUCUUUUAUUCAUCCUAUUCUCUUUUAUCGCCAUCUAUUUUUUUUUUUCAUCUGAACCAUUUUCGUUACCGACCUCUUUCUUUAAUUCUUUCCUACUUACACUUUAAUAUCACUUAUAUUCCUUCUUUCUCUCCCCACCUCUUUACUAUUAUCUCUGCACUUUUUCUCGCUCACAUUUUCCCAAUUCAGUCUUUCCUCUUUUUCUUUUGAUUUUUGUGAUUUCUUUUUCCUAUUAACAAUCUCCUUUUCCAUUUCAUAUAUUCAUUUUUUUUAUAUAGUUUUAUUUUAUUACGUUCCUUUUACAUCUGAUACCUUUCUUUAAUCAUUUUCUUAAAAGAGAGCCUCCAUUUCUUCCUUGUCUCCUCCUACCCAUCUCUCUUUAUUCUUUAAAUAUCUCUGCUUUCUCCUAUCAUUUAUCCCUCUCUUUUCACAUGACUGACUUGCCUUAUCUUCUGCUUCUUCCUCCAUAGUAUUUUCUUCGAAACUCCCCUUCACUCUUUGCUCGCUCUAUAUUUCGAACUUGUCUCUUUUCACAUCAACUUUUGAUAUAAAAAAAGACAAUCGUUAAUUUCCUCUCAAAUCUCAUUUUACGUCGUUAGUGUCACUCCUCCUUUCUCCUUCUCCUCUUCUACAUUAACUCAAUUUGUCAUUGCACUUCCACCGACAUCAUCUUCACUUUAAAUUAUUCCUCCCUCCUACUCCCGCACAUUAGUAUUACCUCCACUUCACAUUACUUCUUCCUCCUCACCAACAUCACCUCAAUUUCUUCUUCCAUCUCUUUGUCUUUUCUGUUUCUCAUACAUUUCCACUCCCCUUGAUUUACUUCUUUCUCUGCUUCGUUGCUUCAACAUAUGCAGAACAUCACACUAUUGCUAUUAUACAUGUAUAUCUAAACAGAGAGAGAGGGAGCGAGAUCAGUGUCGUGUAGUAGUAAUCCUUAGAGGUGUGUACACAGUGCUACCAUAUUUACUCAAAUAAAAAUGCAAAUUUUAGAUUAUUUCUAGGCAUAGUUUCGGUUGUAGUAGCACAGAUUUCCGUCGAUUUCCGUAAAAAACUUUUAUUUUUUUACAUAAGUAAUGAGAGCGAAAGAGACUAAGAGGAAGCGAUUUUACGACGAGAAGGUUUCACUUUGAAGUCGGCCUGUGUGUGUUUGAUGGGGUGUGGGAGACAGACAGUAUGUUGUGUAAGUGAAGUGCUUCUGUUAGUAUGUGUGAAGAGACAGACAUACAUAUACACAUACACCGAGUAAAAAAUUACUAUGAAUCGGCCAUACAUACAUACAUACACACACAUACAUAGAUACAUACACACACACACAUACAUACAUACACACACACACACACACACAUGCAGACAUACAUAUACACAUACACCGAGUAAAAAAUUAUGAAUCGGCCAUACAUACAUACAUACACACACACACAUACAUAGAUACAUACACACACACACAUACAUACAUACACACACACAUACUUACACACACACACAUACAUAGAUACAUACACACACACACACAUACAUGCAUACAUACAUAUACACAUACACCGAGUAAAAAAUUACUAUGAAUCGGCCAUACAUACACACACACACAUACAUAGAUACAUACACACACACACAUACAUACAUACAUACACACACACAUACUUACACACACACACAUAGAUACAUACACACACACACACACAUGCAUACAUACAUAUACACAUACACCGAGUAAAAAAUCAGUUAUCUCUCUCUUUCACACAUUACUCUCUCUGUCUCUUCGCACACACUAACAGAAGCACUUCACUUACACAACAUACUGUCUGUCUCCCACACCCCAUCAAACACACACAGGCCGACUUCAAAGUGAAACCUUCUCGUCGUAAAAUCGCUUCCUCUUAGUCUCUUUCGCUCUCAUUACUUAUGUAAAAAAAUAAAAGUUUUUUACGGAAAUCGACGGAAAUCUGAUCUACGACAUGCGAAACUUCGCCUAUUUCUAUAGAUAAUACGAUUUCGACUUGACUUUGAUUUUGAGUGUGUUGUAUAUUAGAAAACAGAUUACGACGAAGGAAAUCAGUUCAUGAAAUUUCAAUUUCUCACCAUGAAAACGAAUAAGAUGUCGCUCACCCUUCGGUACUUAUUUUUAUCUAGCUAACUCCCAUUAUCACUAUUCGCAGUGCCACAUAUCGAUAAAACAUACAGUAUAUUGUUAUAUCUACUUAAUGUUGAGAUAGCGUGUGCUUAUAAAAGUGUAGGUCAGUGUUGCUAACUUAAAAUCAGAAUUUUAUGCUAAAUUUCAAUGGAAAAAAUACAAAAAAAAAAAAAAAUGCUAAAUAUGACAAAAAGAAUGCUGAAGACUAAUUGUAUGAAAAAGCUUAAUUUUUAUUUACUUUCUUCAAUUUUAUUCAGCAAUAAUUUUUUGAACUUCACUGAUUUGAUCACUUUCAGCUGCAGUGCCUGGGUCUUGACUUCUGUAUACAUUCAAAGUCCCAAUCUUGUUAAUAUGUGUUUUGGAAUAUCGAAGUUUUUGCAACAUUUGCCAUAUCUUUUCAGGCCAUAUUAUAUAGACAGUAUUGAUCUAAGCAUAGGAAGAUGCAUUUUCCUUUUCAAUUUUGAUUUGAUUACACCCAUACUACUGAACAACCGUUCAACGUCUGCAUUUGUGUUUAGCAAUGUCAAUAGAUUAAUGGCAAAAUUUGCAACAUCUCCAAAAGGAUUUCCUCCAGUAGCAUCUUUAUAUUCCAAGACUUCCAGCUAGAAUCCCUCAGUAUUAGACGUAUUUGUCCAUUCAACUAAACAAAUGUUAUUAAACUGAAUUUCAAUUGAAGCAAUUUUUUCUUCAUUUAAAUGCAUUGCUUCUAAGAUAGGUAAAAUUAGCUCUUUGAAAUGCUGCAAAAUAUUCUCUACUGAAAAACAUUUGAUAUUCCUCAGUAUAUUAUUUCCUGGCAAACGGUGCUUGAGCUCUUCAUAAAGGCAGAGUAAAAAAUUUUGUGCUCUUUUGCAAAUAUUAUUUUCUUUGGUGGCUGUUACAGUCUUCUUGAUAAUCAUUUCUGCUAUCUUUCUCUUGAACCUGUAGCCUAAAUUUGGUUUAGGAUCCAGAAAGUUUUCAAUAGAAGCAUCUGGAUCAAGAGGAUCAAUUCUACAUGUUGGCAAUACUAUCAUAUUAGCAACAGAUUUGAUCAAAUUUGAAAGAUCUUCAAGUAAUUUUAUUCAAACAUUUUAUUCAAUUCCUGAACAUGUUUUAGAAUUGGAUGCAAAAAAUAAAAGGUAAAGUUCACUCCUAGAAUCACAAAACAUUUCAUGUAACGUUUGUGCUGUAAAGCAUUUUUCUUUUGUAGUUGUAGUUUGGAAGUGAGUUUGCAAUUCAAACUAUUGGCUUAAAAUUCUAUUUACUGUUGGUUCUAUUGACAGCCACCUAGUUGUACAAGAAUUCAUGAUCUUCAAAGGCUCUUUAUCAUUGAUAGUAAGGUGAAGUUGUUUGUAGGCAUUUUGUCUUGUUGAAGAGGACCAUUUAUAGGUUUCAGAUACUAAAAAUUCUAAAUUUAUGGGCAAACAUUCAGCACAAGUGUGGGAUACUGCCAAUUGUAAAGAAUGACAUACACAUCUAAAUAGAAGUAAUGAUGGAACUUCUUUUAAUUUCUGGAAAACACCAUUGUUAACUCCUAUCAUUACUCUAGUAUUGUCAGUUCCUAUAGCCAGUAAAUUUUUUAUAUCUAAUUUCUUUGUCACUAAUUCAAUUUUUAAUGCAUCUGCAAUGCCAUCUGCAUCAUAUGUUUCUAAAGAUACCAUACUGAGAUAUGUACCACUUUUUUGUGAGUGUCACUAUAAUAUAUGAUAACAAUUCCUAACAACUUGUUUAUCCAUAUAUCAUUGGAUUCAUCUAAAAACAAGCUAAAUUUUCUAAGCUAAAUUUUCUAUCUCCUAUAUCAGAAAUCAAAUCUCCAUCAAAAUAUGGAGCUAGAACAUUUCUCACAAUAUUUGCACGUUUUGUACAAUGCAACUUCACUUUGGAUAUAAUAUCACUAUCAGACAUAUAAUUCUUACAUAACUCUAUUAAGUGAUCACAGCUAUUAAAUGAUUAGUGGCAACAAAUAAACAUUGCUAAAUUUGCUUCAAGCAUAAAUGUCUUAUCAUUUUUGGUUUUAAUAAAAUUGGUAAGAGGAAUCAUUUGCUUUGGAAUUGAUGCCUUAUGUUUCUUUGCUUCACAGUGGCUUACUAAAAGAGACUAUUUUGCCAACAUUCCUUGUUUCUUUCUGUGUUGCUUUCUGUGGAAAAGCGUAUGCUCGAAACGUUAAAGUGACUGCAAUGGACAUGUUGGACAACAUACAGGGGGCUUCCAUGACAUACAUGGAGGCUAUGGUUUUGGUUCCUACAAUAAGGAGGGAACCAGGCUGCUGGAGUUCUGCGAUGCAAAUGAUCUUAUGGUUCGCAAUACUAGUCACCUAGUCACCUACUGCACUGGCAAACACACUAGCCAAAUUGACAACGAAAAAGGGAAAGAUGGCUGCUUAUAAAUGCCAAAACCUUCCCAGGUGAAGAAUGUACCUUCAACAUAGACUGGUAGUUAGCACUUCAGGAUCAGGGCUAAAUGGAUGCCCAGAAGAUGACCAGCAUGGAGGAGAUGGGUCUGGAAGCUUAAAGAUUCUGCAAAUGGACAAAGAUUUAGAGACAUAUUACUUGAAGUCUUUAAUGAAAUAGAAGGGGAUAUAGCUUCAUACAAUGUAGAAGACAACUGGAGGUUUCUACAGGACAGCCUGCUGAGGGUCACUGACCAGAUCUGUGGAUGGUGCGAAGUCCCCUCUCGACCCAAAAUAACGUGGUGGUGGAACAAUGUUGUUGACAGGGCUAUUACAGAAAAGAAACAGGCUUGGAAGGACUGGAAGAACAGUGGUAGCAGGGAAUUGUAUCAGACUGCCAGAAGGGAAGCUAGGAGACAGGUUUAUUUAGCCAGAGGGAGAGCAGAUAAGAAAAAAUUUACCAAUGUUCUGUGCCGUGAGGACCAAAGACUUGAGGUGUUUCAUGAUGUAGGAGAGAAAUGUGUCCACGUGGAUGGUGGUUCACUUGCACUAAACGAGGCUGCAAAGAGAGGUUUGGAGACGCCACUAUGAAAGGUUGCACAAUAAAGAAAAUAAACGGGAGUAAGAGAGUCUGCUGAAUGUUGACUCAAAAGAGGGACCAGCUAUCUGAAUUGACAGUACCUUGGUAGAUAAAGCAAUUAAGAGUAUGAAGACAGAGAAAGCUUCCAGCCCAUCAGGAAUCACUGCAGAGAUGCUCAAAAUAUUUGGCGGUGUUGGCUGUAGCCUAGUCACCCGUAUAGUUAACCAGGUGAUACACGAAGGAGUCAUACCCAAUUACUGGUGUAGCAGCACUAUAGUCAACUGCUACAAAGGUAAAGGUGACGCUUUAGAUACAAAUAAUUACAGAAGUAUUAAGUCGUUGGAUCAGGUAAUGAAGGUCAUGGAGAGGGUCAUAGCCCAACGAAUUAGGGAGAGAGUUAGUUUAGAUGAGAUGCAGCUUGGGUUCGUGCCAGGGAAAAGCACCACUGAUGCUAUAUUUCUGGUAAGACAACUGCAGGAGAAAUACCUAGCCAAAGAUAAACCUCUGUACCUAGCUUUUGUUGACAUAGAAAAAGCCUUUGACAGGGUCCCCCAAUCCCUUAUCUGGUGGUCAAUGAGGAAACUAGGGAUAGAUGAAUGGUUAGUGAGAGCUGUGCAAGCUAUGUACAAGGACACUGUCAGUAAGGUGAGGGUUGGCAACAAGUACAGUGAAGAAUUCCGGGUAGAGGUAGGGGUCCACCAAGGUUCAGUCCUCACCCCCACCUAUUUAUCAUAGUCCUCCUGGCAAUAACAGAGGAAUUGAAGACAGUAUGCCCCUGGGAGCUGGUCUAUGCUGAUGACCUUGCUCUAAUUGCUGAGUCACUAUCAGAACUAGAGGAGAAGUUUCAGGUGUAGAAACAAGGAUUAGAAUCGAAGGGCCUUGGAGUCAACCUAGCUAAAACCAAAGUCCUAAUAAGUAGGAAGGCAGACAAAUCACAAACGCCUUAUCUAUAAUACAUUAAAAGUCAGUUUGAAUCUUGCUUGCUGACGCUUAAUGGGAAAAUACUAUGAAUUAAGUUUACCCUGAAAUGUUAAUACAAACAGAAUAAAAGAAGUUACAUGCAAAUCAGACAAGUGGUUUCAGAGAUAUUAGAGGUUUCCGGGAAUAAAUACUCAAAACAGUGCAUAAUGGGAAAAUAUUCUGAAAAUAAUCUUAAAUCCUUUUUAUUUAGAAAUCUAUAAUGAACAGGUCAGAUGCUAAACUGAAAAAAUUCACAGGGUUACAACCUUAAAGUUGACACCGCUCUGCUAAAUGCAAAAAAAUUCUGUCACGCUAUUGGCUAAAAACACCCAGUUUUUUCGAUUUUUAAUCCUCUGUAACAUUUUUCUCCAAUUUUUUUUCUCCACAAUAUGUUACUUUCAAAUCAAUGAGAUUGGAAGGCUACAUUAUUAUAGCCAGUUUUCAGAUGUUUUAAUGCAUAUUUUGCAAAUGCAAAAAAAACUAGAUCCUGAUUUCAAAAAUGUAAGUUAUUUUGUACAGUAAGUAUUUAUAUCUUAGCCUUCAUUUUUAAUGUUUUUUUAAAAAUUAUUUUGAAGUGAAUACCAUUACCAUAUUUUUUUUGGCAUAUUUAAAAAAUAUUUUAAAGUGAAAAUGACUUUAAAAAUACAGUAAAUAUUUUGUAAAAGACCCAUUUGUAAUCUCAGUGUGAAAUAGUUUUUUCCAUAGGUUUUUUGAGUGCAUUCAAUGUAUUUCACCUCCAAAGAUUUGGCCGCUAUUUCUAGCACACCAUGCUCCCACGUAACAGCUAUUUACAAUAAAGAACCUGAAAUACCUGUUACGUGGUAACAGGGCGUGCAAGAAAUAGCAGCCAAAUCUUUCCAUUUCUGGGGAAAGGAGCUGCGUCUACAUGUGAUUUCAAUGUCACAUUCAUUGAAAGCAUGCAAAAUAGCCUGGAAAAGAAAAAAAUCCACAAAACAAAACUCCAUUGCUGGGAAACUCAGAGUUUCCUGGUGACCCAACAGGUCACAGGUAGUCUAGUUGUUGCAUAUUUAUGAAUUUAUAAAAUUAAAUAUUCAUUAUUUUCCUCAGCACAAAGUUACAAACUGUAAUUUGACUCGGAUCUUGUUAAAUUUCUUCUGAUCAUGAGUAUUUCAAAUUUUCACUAGAUUAUUUUCAAAAGAUGUACUUGAUUGGAAUUAUACUUUAUUGCCCUUCCUCCUCUGUUGAAGGCUGAAAGUAAAAGUCCACUUCGAUUUCUGGCAAUGAUUUUUUCUAAUUUUGGCACAAGGCCAGCAAUUUUGAGGGGAGGGGGAAGUCAGUUACAUCAAUACCAGUGUUUGAUUGAUACUUAUUUUACCAAUACUGAAAGUAUGAAAGACAAAGUUGACUUCAACGGUACUUGAACUCAGAACGUAAAAAGCCAGAACAAAUGCUGCCCACUUGCUGCCUUUAGAUAUCUAAUAAUAAUGGCUGGUAAUUACUUCCAAGCAUGGUUCUGGCUGUAGUUAAUAAAUUCACUCAGAGACACCAACUGCAUAAAAUACAAAAGAAUGGGUGUUUCUAUGCGAGUAAUUCUUGGGGUAUUUAAAAUUACCACGGACUAAAGAAAAAUAUAUAACUGAAGUCUUUAGAAAAUUUAUAGUAAUGGUUGAAUUCCUUGAAAAUGUGUUAUUCAUUUAUUUUGUUAUAUUUUGUGUGGUUCAGAAGCUUGCUUUGCAAUCAUGUGGUUUAGGGCUCAGACCCACUGUUAUAACCUCGGAUUGACCAAUCCUUUGUGAAUUAAUUUAGUUGUAAGAAACUUUUCCAUGCUUGCAUAGGUCAGGCAGAAUUUGUCAAAGCAGAUUUUUAACAGCAGGGUGCCCUUCCUGCUUCAACAAAUUCCAUCUGACCCAUGCAAGCAUGGAAAGGUUUCUGUCAACCAAAUUCAUUCACUAGACAUGUUCAUGGAAGAUUGGAAACAAACAUCCUUGCUUGUAUGGCAAGUUUUAUUUAUAACCAUCACCUGAUCUCUAGGCAAGAGUAUGCCCAUAUGUACAUACAUACACGCAUACAUACACACACAUACAUACAUCAUCAAGAUUUAUCAACUGAUGCAGACAGUCAUUGGAGUGUCACUCUAAAUACUUUCAUAGUUGUCACCACUGGUAUUUGUUCUCUGUCAUGUGUUGUAGGUUUGCUGUGAUGUGACCUGUCCAGUCCUUGAUGUUGCCAAACCAAGAUUUUCCCUAUCUGCCUCUCUUUCACCCUCCCUCAAUUGUACUCCGAAAAAUGGUUUGGGGCAGUGGGGUUGUGUAUGUACAUGACUGUACUAGGUAAGCUUUCAUCUUUUUAGCUGCACAAGGAGUGGUUCUUGUCUGCCAGCUUAUUUAUUGACUUGCUACUUGGCAAAGCUAUUUGCUUUGUGCUCUAUGUAUAGGAUGUGCCAUCUGAAGCACUUGUGCUCAAAUGCCUGUGUUCUUUGCUCCAUGUCAGCUGUAAGAGUCCAGCUCUCACACACAUACAGAAGGAUCAAAGUCAGCAGGGCCUUGUACACUCUGAGUCUUGCUGGAAAACUAAUGGAAUUACUUUUCCCUGUGUUGUUCAGCUUCAUCACAGCAGCAGAGGCUAAAUUGAGUCUCGUUGUUAUCUCCUUUUGAGAUCUGCCAUCCUUGGUCAGAGUGGAUCCUAGCAUGAUGUUGGUUGCUGUGUUUUGGUUAUUACUAUUAACCAGGAUCAUUCACUUUGGGUGGGUGGGUGUUUGGGUGUAGUGUGGGAGGGGUGAUCUCUAUCCCAUAUACUCCUGAUUACAUUUUCCAGUCUAGUGGUGAGCUCCUGUAGUUCUGCUUCACUGCUUUGUAACAGGUCAAUAUCAUCAGCAAAGUGCAGGUCAGAAAUGGGCCAUCCUCUAAUGGAAAUGGAGGAGUGAAAGUCUUCUAGUAUCUCCUGCAUGAUGUUCUCCAGGAAGAGGUUGAAAAGCACUGGAGUGAGGAUACAUCCUUAACCAACACUCACUAUUGUCUUCAAGAUUUCCCAGAUGUUGCUCAGGAGAACUGCAUUGCUUGAGUUUUUAUACAGUGCUUGGAUUACUUUGAUGAGGUUGUUGUCAAAGUUGUAAUUCUUAAUCACCUUCCACAACCCAUCGUGCCAAAAACAGUCAAAGGCUUCUUUGAAGUCAGUGAAGUUUUGGUAGAAGUCAUACUGGUGUUGAAGAUAUUUCUCAGUGAGAAGUCUAAUGUUAAAAAUCUGCUCCACAGUACUUCUUUGUGGUUUAAAUCCUGUCUGUUCUUCUGCAAGGAUUUCUUCUCUCCUUCCCUUUAAGUCUGUUUAGCAGAAUUCUUAACAAUACUUUGCUGCAGUAGCUAAUUAGGCUGCUUUUUUUUUUAUAUUUCUGGUAGAAUCUUAAGUUACUUUUCUUGGGAAUGGGUAUCAUCAGUAAUUGGGUCCACUCCUUUGGCCAUUGCUUCAUCUCCCAUAUCUUCUGACAGGUAACUGUUAGUGCCUUGAUAAGCAUUGGCCAUCCAUGUUUUAACAUAAAGAAAUUAAGAAUAUGAAGACAGCAUUCCAUUGUCCCAGUCGAUUGGUCAUAUGCAUUUGGGCCUACUUUGACAUUCCAGUCUCCUAGGAUAAUGUGGGCAUCUUUUUAGGAGUCACCUUGGUGAUUUUCUCCAGGUCCUCAUAGACUUCCUAUAUGACAUCAUCAUCAUAUUCAAGCAUUGGUGCAUAGACUUGUAGGAUGAUAAUAUUCUGUGGUCUUGUGGCCUUUACCUCCUUUACCUCCUGUGGUCUUGUGGCCUUUACCUCCUUUAUCGCUUCUUAGGUAGUGUGUGUAUUUUGUGGCCAUGCGGGAGCACAACAUUCUAGGUUUUAGUUGAAUAAAUUGACCUCAGUGCUUAUUUUUUAAAGUCUGGUGGACGAAAUCUGAAAGAAUCCCUGUUUCAGAAUCCUGACCUUUGAUCAAGGAUAAUGGCAGUGGUCAUUCUUCAGCAAAAGCAAUAUUUCCCUUGGAAACAUUUCAACUCCUUUUAAAAAUGGUCUUAGUUUCCCUGAAAUGCAUUUUGCGAGAAAAAUCAAUAACUCUCAGAAAUACUGUUGCUAUAGAGAUUCUGCAUCUCAUCGAUCAAUAUUGCAUGUUCUGUUGCUAUGGCUACCCUUAAAUACAAAAUGUGAUAAAUCAUUGUCAUCAUCAUCAUCAUCGUUAUUAUUAUUUAAUAUCCGUAUUCCAUGCUGGGAUGGAAUAUAGAUAUUAUUUAUUAUUAGCAGAUGUGGUGAUUUUGGUAUUUUACCUCUUUCAGAAUCUGAGAUUACUAAGUAUCUGUAUCAUGGUGGUAUUAGUGGUGGGGUGCAAUGGCAUUGCGUUGUGUAUUGUUUUGUUGUGUGUAUAUAUGUGUAUGUAUGUAUGUGAGUGUGUAAUCUCUAUAUAUAAAACUGAGAAUGUGUGUCUGUCUGUGUGAAUCCCUAAAACUUGAGAAAUACACAACCAAUUUCAUUCAAAUUUUACACAUGCGCGGAUUGUGACACAGAUCAUUCACUAAUAAGAAGUAGGGUGAGGAUUCUGCCUAAAAAAGUUCAUCACUCCAAGAAAAUGGGCUGACCACGCAUUAACACUGCCAGCACCUCAGACCCUACACUGCGACAAUGUUUUGCUGUUUCUAUUAAGGUUGCCCUCAGUAGCUGCCCAACCUCCUCUGCUGAAAGUAGGUGGAAUUAUAUCAGGGAAGCUUGGUAUACCACAUCAAUAGAUACUUUCGGCAUGAGAGAAAGGCAAAACCCAGAUUGGUUCAGUGCUGGGCUCUCAGAACUGGAAACAGUUAUCGAAGUGACGCAUGCAGCUCUGAUGCAAUACAAGAGUGAUUAUUCUACAAAGUCACUCGAAGAACUCAGAAAGGCUAGAAAUAAAACCCAACUGACUGCCAGACGCUGUGCAAAUAGGUAUUGGCAGGAAAUCUGUCAGAGUAUCCAGUCAGCUGCUGACAGUGGCGACACCCGUGGGAUGUAUGCCAGUUUGAAGAAGACCCUUGGUCCAUCCGCAACCAAGUCAGCCCCAUCUGAAAUCAACUACUGGAGAUCUAAUCAAGGACCAAAGCAAGCAAAUGGAUGGAGUACUACCAGGAUCUUUACUCACAGGAGACCACAGUAGCUGAGGCUGCAAUCGAGGGUGUCAAGAUCUUGCCAGUCAUGUGCGAACUUGACAGGCUGCCAUCUAUAGCAGAGCUCACCAAGGCUAUUGACUCCCUAGCAAGUAACAAGGCUCCGGGAAAAGACGGCAUCCCCUUAGAGAUCAUCAAAACCGGCAAAAACACCAUCCUGCUUCGGCACCUUCAUGAGCUUCUGUGUCAGCACUGGGAAGAGGAUACAGUCCCUCAGGAUAUACGGGAUACUAACAUCAUUACGCUUUACAAAAACAAAGGUGACCGUGGUGAUUGUAACAAUUACCGUGGAAUAUCUCUUCUAAGCACUGUUGGAAAGGCCUUUGCUCGCAUUAUCCUGUCCAGGUUACAACUGCUUGCUUCUUGAAUUUAUCCAGAAUUGCAGUGUGGCUUUAGAAGAAGCAGAUCAACUAUUGACAUGAUAUUCUCCAUACGCCAACUUCAGGAGAAGUCCAGAGAGCAGAAAAUGCCAUUAUAUAUGGCCUUCAUUGAUCUGACAAAGGCCUUUGACUUGGUAAGUAGAAAAGGCCUCUUCAUCCUGCUCCAAAAAAUCAGAUGUCACCAAAGCUGCUGAGGAUCAUCAAAUUUUCCCAUGAUGGUAUGCAAAGCACCAUACAGCACAAUGGUUCAACAUCAGUUGCCUUCCAAAUGAAAAAUGGGUUAAAGCAAGGUUGUGUCCUUGCUCCUACAUUAUUUGGCAUCUUGUUCUCGCUGCUGUUGUCACAUGCCUUUGAGACAUCAGAUGAUGGAGUGUUUCUGCACAGUAGAAGUGAUGGGAAACUGUUCAAUCUCUCGCGUCUGCGUGCCAAGACCAAAAUCAGAAGCGUCCUGAUCAAGGAGAUACUAUUUGCUGAUAAUGCCACUCUGGUAUCACACAGAAGAAGCCCUACAAAGGCUCAUCAACUGUUUUGAGCAAGCAUGUAGUGACUUUGGCUUAGUUAUCAGCCCCAAGAAGACCAACAUCAUGGGUCAGGCUACAUCGGACAUCCCAAACAUACAUAUUGGAGACCACAGACUACAGGAGGUGGAGAAGUUUACCUACGAGGGAUGUUCAAUAAGUAAUGCCUCUGACCCACUUGCAGUUGUUUGAUCUAGCUGAAAUUUUGCAUGUGCAAUUAUUUAUAUCUCUAUAGAGUAAGUGGCAAAUUACAGCUCUGAAUUAAUUGUGGUUUUUGAUUUACAGGUGUUUGAACCGAGUCAAGUGUGAAAUGGAGCCUGUUGAGUGUCGAGCAGUGAUCCAGUUUUUGUAUUUGAAAGGACGCACACCACGGGAGACUUUUGAUGAAAUGAAAGUAACUUAUGGUGAUGAUGCCCCAUCAUAUGACCUUGUAAAACGCUGGCAUCAUGAAUUCAAACAUGGUCGGAACUCUGUGGAAACAGCUCCCAGAUCUGGUCGCUCCCAUUGAUGAGGCAUCUGUCCGUCAAGUUGAGGCUGCCAUUUUGGAAGAUCGACGCAUAAUUAUUCGCCAAAUAGCCCAUGAGGUCAAGAUUAGUACCGGGUCUGUGGAAACUAUCAUUCAUGACUAUUUGCAUAUGCAAAAGGUGUCUGCCAGAUGGAUUCCCAGGUUGCUCACGCCUUUCCAGAAGCAAGAACGCGUCGAGUGCUCGAGGGUGAAUUUGGAUAUGUGCCAAGAAGAUGAGUCAACAUUUUUCAAAAGACUGAUUACACAGGAUGAAACCUGAGUCCAUUACGAUGAUCCGGAGACCAAAGCCCAGUCAAUGCAGUGGAAGCACCGUGAUUCACCUCCUCCAAAGAAGGCAAGGGUGCAGCCCUCCGCUGGCAAGGUCAUGCUCACAGUCUUCUGGGACCAGGACGGAGUAGUGAUGACAGAUUUCCUGACAAAGGGUACCACAAUUGCAGGAGCCUAUUAUACUUCACUUUUGAGGAAAUUAAGAGAAGUUAUCAAAAUCAAGAGGCGGGACAAGAUCAGCAAAUGCAUCCUUCUCCUGCAGGACAACUCUCCGGUCCACAACUCGUGUGUCGCCAGAUCAGAAGCACAGGCGUAUGGCUAUGAACUCCUCCCCAUCCCCCCUACUUUCCUGACCUUGCACCCUCUGAUUUUCACCUCUUCCCAAUCAUGAAGUUGUUUUUGAAAGGAAAGCGUUUCCCAGAUGAUGCAGCCUUGAUUUCUGAAGUCACGUUGAGGUUGGAGGACCAAGCUGGGUUCUUCUACAAAAAUGGUCUCCAGAGCCGCAUCAAACGAUGGGAGAAAUGCGUAACUCUGGGUGGUUUCUAUGUAGAAAAAGACUAAUAACUGUGCCAAGUUUUGUUGCUCUACUGCUAUGGGAAGUGGGUCAGGGGCAUUACUUAUUGAACGCCCCUCGUAUCUUGGCUCUACCGUCACCUACAACCUAUCCCUUGAUGCUGAGCUCAAUAUAUGCAUUGGCAAGGCAGCUGCUGUGAUGGCCCAACUCUCCAAACGGGCAUGGGACAACAAUAAGCUGACCAAGACCACAAAAAUGAAGAUUUACCAGGCAUGUGUACUUAGCACUCUACUGUAUGGAAGUGAGACUUGGACACUGUACACACGCCAAGAGCGUCGCCUAAAUAUCUUUCACAUGCGCUGCCUCCAGAAGAUCCUUCGCAUCAAAUAGCAGAAUCAUGUCCCCAACAAAGAUUUCCUCAAGCAAGCAGGAAUACUAAGCAUGUUUGCACUCCUCACACAAAGACGUAUGCGAUGGCUUGGAUAUGUUAGCUGUAUGGAAGAUGGCAGAAUCCUCAAGGACAUACUCAACGGAGAGCUUGCUAGGGGCACUAGGUCUAUGGGAAGACCGGUCUUAUGAUACAAGGAUGUUUGCAAAAGGGACACGAAUGCCUGCAACAUCAAUAUUACCAACUGGGAAGCAGUUGCCAGCAACCGUGGAGAUUGGCAACGUACUAUAAAAGAGGAAACACAAAGGAGUGACAUAGAGAGGGAGAGGAGAAAUGGAAAGACAAGAAAAGACGUCAACAAGAAACUAUGACAUUACAACCAGCCAGGCAAAGUCUUCACUACAUUUGUAGCACCUGCCAGAGGGAGUGUUUGUCCAGGAUAGGACUACACAGCCACAGUAGGAGAUGUAUUAGGACUUCUUAUUUUGUUCAUGUGUUUACAUCCACUUAUUAUUAUCAUUACAUAUGCUUGUAUGUAUGUAUGUAUAACAACAAUACUAGUAAUAAUAAGAAUAAAUCGAAUUUUUUUUUUAUAAUUUAAAAAAAUAUAUUUUUAAAUUUUUUUUUUUUUCGAUUCGAUUUAUUCUUAUUAUUACUAGUAUUGUUGUUAUACAUACAUACAAGCAUAUGUAAUGAUAAUAAUAAGUGGAUGUAAACACAUGAACAAAAUAAGAAUAAACAAAAACAACAACAACAAAAACAAAAUACAAAUUACAUGAACGUAUAUAAACAGAAGAUACAAAUAUUACAAGCAUCCCCCACAUACACACACUAAAUAAACAUAGACGCACAUAGAGAUAUAAGCAUGCGCAAAUGAAGACAUACAAUAGAAAUACAAAAUGGCUGACGGUUAGUAAGGAGAGACACAAAUAAGAAAGAAGAAAACAAAGGACCACUGAUGCAGUCACAGGAGUGUGACGAAAGAACUCUGGCCGAAAUAAGAUUAAGAUUAAUGUAAAAAAUAAAUAACACUGAAGCAAAGUAACACCAAAUAUAUAGUGCAUGUGUUUUUAUUGGCUAAACUGGCAAAAUGACCAUUCCGAAAUAUAACAAUAUCUGUUUCAACACACGACUUCACAUAAAAAAUCUUGCACAACAAAUAUUUAAACGUAUAUAUAUGUAUAUAUAUAUAUAUAUAACACCCUAAUGGGAGCCUUAACUCCCAAAUUUUAGUCAUUUCUUUUAUGAUCCAAAACUAGGUCAAAAGUACUGAAUGGAUCUUUAUGAAAUUUGGAUAUUAUAUGCAUAAGGACCACAACUCCCAUGACAAUUCAUAUAUUUUUGCUGUUAAUGAAAUUUUAACCAUAGAUAUUAGACACAAAUGAAGUAAUUUUUAUAAAAUUUCAUCUUCUUACAAGUUAGAAAGACCUCUCUAAGGGGACUUAACACCCACAAUUUUGUCAUUUUAUCUAAGCUAAAACGAAUACAGUUGUGCUCUUGGAAGCUGUAGGGUUACCCGAGCAUAAAAGUUGGGCAUUAUUUCUAAUUCAAUGGUACAACAGCGUAACAGUUUGCUUUGACAUACACUUACAUUGUGAUUUCUGCAAUGUGGUGCAUAAAUUGUCAAGUAAAUGAGAGGCAUCUUUGCUUCCACUGAUUCAGUUGCAAAGUGUUGAGUAAAGUUAUUUGAUUGCACACCUCCUUUCAGUCUUUUUAUUAUCACUGGGUCACACAUAAUCCCCAGAUGGUAACAUUAAUUUCAAGGCCUUCCCAGAUGAGUGACUGGUUAUUCAAAGACAUUUAUAGAUUGUAAAUUUAUCUGUCCAGUUACGUAUGAGUAUAAUGGUCAUUUGCAAACCCCAGAGGUGACACUUUAAUUUCUCCUUAGCCCUCAUGUCACAGUUGUUAAUGUUGAUUUCAGUUGGCUCAUGCCCUUCCAAUUGCUAUAGAUUUGUAAUGCAUCUUAUGGCUGUGCGUGUCACCUGGAUGCUGAGGAUUCCUACACUGGGAGUGGUAACAACUAGGGUAGGGUAACUGACUGCUUAUAGUGAUCAUUUGUCUUUUGGUUUCCUGUAGCUUUGCUCUCUUUCCUAUUUCAAAGAAAUUCAAACAAUAGAUAUAAGACCCAAGUUAAAAAGAUUCUCAACAAUUCAACUUCUCUGGUUGACAUUAAGAUGCCCACCCCCAACAGGGGCCUUUACUCUCACAUUUUAGAGCAACAUAACCUUCAUUUUUCAGGAGCAAAAUCUUUUUAACAGGUUCAGUAAGACUGGAAUUUUGGAAUAUGCGCAUAAAAAUCAGUAGUAUGGGAUACAUGUAGCAUGAUUACAAUUUUUUUAGGAUGUGUAAAGAGGGAAAUAACCCUCAUCUGCAAUUUUGAUGAAAUUUGAAACAUAAAUAUUCCACUUCAUUACAGAAAAUAUAACAGAAAAGUCUAAUUCUUCAAUUGAAUGUAACCGGGCAACUCUGCUAGUAUAUAUAUAUAUAUAUAUAUAUAUAUAUAUAUAUAUAUAUAUAUAUAUAUAUAUAUUUGGGUUGGCAACUAAGUACCUGCCAAUUUUUUAACUUUUGGAAUUUAUUGUGUUUUUAAAUGUUGGAAUCUAUUUUAUUUGAGAAUUCUAUUUUUGAAACAUUUUGGAAUCUAUUUUGUUUUUUUUCUAGUUAAUUUUAGUUAAUUUUUUGUUUAUUUUCAGAUCAUUACAAUGGAAUGUUAAAUUUAGAAAAACG